GAUAAUUAAUGAUUCUAGCACUUUCUUGUUGGACAGGUGGUGUGGAGUAUUAUUUGCUCCCUUGGAAUAUGGAAACUGAAGCUUCUUUUGGUAUUUGUAAUUUCUUAAGGCAAUUCAGCAGUUCCACUGCUGCUAGAAAAGUUGAUUUUACAGACCUUACAUAAGAAUUGUAUCUCAUUUCUUGUUUACUGCAUGAAAGUAUAUAGGAACCUUUUUGUUUGUACAUAUUAAAAGAUAAAAAAAGUAUAUCAUCUACUGUUGUACUAUGAUUUUUCUACUGUAAUCGAUUUCAAAUUGCAGUCAUCCGCAUAAAUGGUAUCCGCAAAUUGCAGUCAUAUUUAUGCAUUGGAGAUUUUGACCUGAUGAAUGUUGAAGGAGUUACAAGAGGGAAUGUGGCAAGCCAUCUCCAGGGGCAACCCCCUGAUUGCAUACUAAAGGACGCAAAAAACACCAGCAAGCUAAGUUAUUCAAGUUUGCUUGGGAGCAUUAAUCCUAUGAGCAGAUCUAGAGUUUAUCAAGCUUUGGCAGAAGAAGUUAUUGAAGCUGUAAGUAGAUGAAAUUCAAAACUAAUGAAUUAUGAAAUAGGGUCACUGGAAAUCAUACCUUUCUUAUACUUGAACAUUUGGAUACUUUUCUCCAUGUUACUUAUAGUUUUGGUGUAAAGGGUUCUAGCUAUGACGUGUAGAUAAUUGGGAUAUUUUGUUAAAAUGGAUGUGGUUGAACAACACAAGCAUAGUGUAUUGUAUACAUUUUCCAACCAUCUAAGUGCUAUUAAUGCAAUUGAUUAAACUUAUCAGUAAAACAGAAAGGAAAACAUGAGCAGAAGGUGUAAACUUGUGGUAUUUGGUAUUAGCUUAGUGCUAGCAGCCAAUUAACUUGUGGUAUAUGGUAUUAGCUUAGUGCUAGCAGCCAAUUAACUUGUGAUAUAUGCAUUUUGUGGGGCUUGUUUUAGUUUCUUUAUAGUCUAAAGUUUUGGUUUCAAGUCUGUUUUGAUGUUGAUAAGUAAUGAAACAUUAUUGAUUGAGAGUAGUUCUUUCUCAGGAUUAUACGGCUUAAGCUGUAACCGUGACAAGAUAUCGGAUGGCUAAAGCUCUUUUAAUUUUUGCAGGAUGCCAAGGGCAAUGAUGUUGAUCUCAGUCUGAUAUUGAUCAAUGUGAAGCAUAUUACGAAGCUGCUAGGGGAACAAGGAAGAAAAGAAUAUAUGGUCUUGGAUCUCAAGCACAAAGUUAUCUGCUUUUUGUUGGAAAGAACAAAAUUAUGCACUAACAAUACUUGAUGGAUGUGUGGG